rnacentral:rRNA from 1 species
AUUAGAUACCCUGGUAGUCCACGCCGUAAACGAUGAUUACUAGGUGUCGGUGGGUAUGGACCCAUCGGUGCCGCAGCAAACGCAGUAAGUAAUCCACCUGGGGAGUACGUUCGCAAGAAUGAAACUCAAAGGAAUUGACGGGGACCCGCACAAGCGGUGGAGCAUGUGGUUUAAUCCGAAGCAACGCGAAGAACCUUACCAAGUCUUGACAUCUGGUUGACGAGGACUUAAUCGUCCUUUCUCUUCGGAGCAUCCAAGACAGGUGGUGCAUGGUUGUCGUCAGCUCGUGUCGUGAGAUGUUGGGUUAAGUCCCGCAACGAGCGCAACCCUUAUCUUCAGUAGCCAGCGAGUGAAGUCGGGCACUCUGGGGAGACUGCCGGGGAUAACCCGGAGGAAGGUGGGGAUGACGUCAAAUCAUCAUGCCCCUUAUGAUUUGGGCUACACACGUGCUACAAUGGCGUAAACAGAGGGAAGCGAACCCGCGAGGGGGAGCAAAUCCAGAAAUAACGUCCCAGUUCGGAUUGUAGUCUGCAACCCGGCUACAUGAAGCUGGAAUCGCUAGUAAUCGCGGAUCAGAAUGCCGCGGUGAAUACGUUCCCGGGUCUUGUACACACCGCCCGUCACACCAUGGGAGUCGGAAAUGCCCGAAGUCUGUGACCCAACCUCAGGGAGGGAGCAGCCGAAGGCAGGUCGGAUGACUGGGGUGAAGUCGUAACAAGGUACC